rnacentral:rRNA from 1 species
GACGAACGCUGGCGGCGUGCUUAACACAUGCAAGUCGAACGGAGAUACUGGAGGAAGCUUGCGAAUCCGGUAUUUUAGUGGCGGACGGGUGAGUAACGCGUGGGUAACCUGCCCCAAGGACCGGGACAACAGUUGGAAACGACUGCUAAUACCGGAUGUGUUCACGAGAGGACAUCCUCUUGUGAAGAAAGGUGGCCUCUGCAUAUGCUACCGCUUUGGGAUGGACCCGCGUCUGAUUAGCUAGUUGGCGAGGUAACGGCUCACCAAGGCGACGAUCAGUAGCCGGCCUGAGAGGGUGAACGGCCACACUGGGACUGAGACACAGCCCAGACGCCUACGGGAGGCAGCAGUGGGGAAUCUUCCGCAAUGGGCGAAAGCCUGACGGAGCAACGCCGCGCGAAUGAAGAAGGCCUUCGGGUCGUAAACUCCUGACAGGCGGAGCGAUGCCGUUUCGGAGUAAUUGCCGAGACGGCGACGGUACUGCCAAAGGAAGCCCCGGCUAACUACGUGCCAGCCGCCGCAGUAAUAC